rnacentral:rRNA from 1 species
GGANGAUAAUGACGGUACCUNUAGAANAAGCNCCUGCGCUAACUUCGCUGCCAGCANCCGCGGUAAUACGAGGGGGGCAAGCGUUGUUCGGAAUUAUUGGGCGUAAAGGGUGCGUAGGCGGUUUGAUAAGUUUUAUGUGAAAUCUAUGGGCUCAACCCAUAGUCUGCNCNGGAAACUKUCGGGCUUGAGAUUGGGAGAGGUGANUGGAAUUUCCGGUGUAGCGGUGAAAUGNGUAGAUAUCUGUAGGAACACCNUGUGGCGAAAGCGGCUCCCUGGNCCAUUUCUGACGCUGAUGCNCGAAAGCUAGGGGAGCAAACAGGAUUAGAUACCCUGGUNGUCCUAGCCCUAAACGAAGUNUUCUUGAUGUGGGG